rnacentral:rRNA from 1 species
UACGUAGGCAGCGAGCGUUGUUCGGAGUUACUGGGCGUAAAGCGUGCGUAGGCGGUUGUCUAAGUUUGGUGUGAAGUCUCCCGGCUUAACUGGGAGGGUGCGCCGAAAACUGGGUGACUGGAGUGUCGGAGAGGUAAGCGGAAUUCCUGGUGUAGCGGUGAAAUGCGUAGAGAUCAGGAGGAACACCUGUGGUGUAGACAGCUUACUGGACGAUAACUGACGCUGAGGCACGAAAGCGUGGGUAGCAAACAGG